AUGCCGUCAUUGGUCUGCUUUUUCCAUAGGAGGUAUUCAGCCUUGUGGAAGGGUCUGGUUACUUUGCAGUCAGCAGCCGGGAGCAGGGCAUCGUCACCAUCACUUACAGAGAAGCAGAGAGCUCAGUGCAGGUAGUUCCUGUACAGCCCGGAUCUCUCACCUUGGAAGUCUAUGAUCUGUGCCUGGCUUUCUCUGGUCCAGCAAAAGCCCACCUGAGGAUAUCAGACAUACAAGAGCUGGAGCUCGAUCUG
rnacentral:lncRNA from 1 species